UACGGAGGGAACUAGCGUUGUUCGGAUUUACUGGGCGUAAAGGGCGCGUAGGCGGUUUAUUAAGUUAGAAGUGAAAGCCUGGGGCUUAACCCCAGAACUGCUUCUAAAACUGGUAGGCUAGAGUGCGGGAGAGGAUAGUGGAAUUCCUAGUGUAGAGGUGAAAUUCUUAGAUAUUAGGAGGAACACCGGUGGCGAAAGCGACUAUCUGGAACGCAACUGACGCUGAGGCGCGAAAGCGUGGGGAGCAAACAGG
rnacentral:rRNA from 1 species